UAUGUCCCCAUGUAGCCCAAGCUGACCAUGUUGUCAACCUUCCUCCCGCUUAGACUGGCUAAGGGAAUUAGAGCUUGUGGUCCCCAGAGGCAGGGAUCUGUUCUCGCUGGGUGAUGUAUCAGCUCUGUCCCCUCUCCAAGCUCAGUUUUCACAAAUCCCAUUUUCCAGGGUCAGCCCCACCCUAUCCACUGAGUUGGCUUCCUAACAUAGAACAUUGGAACCUGGCUCUCACCUGGGUGUUCUGAAUUUAGGUCAUAAUCACAGACUAUCAAUCAGGGCUUUAGACACUGGCAUCCGUCCCUCCCCCACCCUUACGGAAGAGGCUGUGAGCCAGAACACAAUGCCUUUCUUUUUCCAUUGCCCGCCCUGGUGAAUAAGGAGUCACUUUCAAGCCUGGCUGUUUAUGAAGAGAGUACCAUCUGGAGCAUUGCAUUUCUGGGAACAGGAUGGUUCUGAGUUUGGGGUCCAAGAUCAGGGCCUGAGAGAAUUGACCCAUUGUCCACCUGAGCUGCUGAGGACCAUCUCUCUUCCGAAGUGUAGAUGGGUAAGGUGCACAUAGACCUGAAAGUCAAUACUUGGAACCUGGAGUGGCGGCUGGAGGAUGCAUCUUUGUUUCUUGAUCCCAGAUGGAGACCCUGGGAAGAAGAAAAGCAAUGGUUUAUUCUUGGGACAUUUGAAGAUGGCAAGGAGGAGGGGUCCUCCACCCCCUUCUCCAGGAGAAGCAGUCCCAAGUCCCUACAAGACAGGUCCUUGGACGUCCUGCACCAUAUAAUCCAGAUACCCCAGCGCGUCACCUGCCGACACAUCCCCCACAGACUUCUCCCUGAGCGAACCUGUUUUUAACUUGGGAAGAGGGCAUUACAGACCUCCACAGGCACUCAGCACCCCAUUCUCAUCCCCGCCAUGGCCACAGCAUGGCAGCCACGUCCCUCCAAAGGCCUAUAAGCAAAUAUGGAUUCUGUCAAAAGCUUAUUGCCACUCUUUGCCUGCCACUGGGCCCCUCCCCGGCUAGGUCUGCCUGCCAGGUCGGAUGGGGUCACCAUGCUGGCUGGGCCCAUAAUAUUCUUAAAGUUCCUUUGAAUCCAUACAUGACACUUUUCCUCCCUGUAGGCCCCAGGCCCACAGGGUGCCUGCCAGCCACUGUGACAUUAGCCAUUGGAGAGCAAGGGUGUUCUUACCACUCUGCCCAUGGCUAAAAAGCUGCUGCUCAGAGAGACCAUGAGUGGCCAGUGAGCCUGUGACCUGCUACAGGUCAGUGGUGUGAUAAAUGUCUUCAAGCUCUGAU